ensembl:lncRNA
GGGCCUGGAGGUGCAGAGGUGCUCUUUUCCCCUGGGAGAAAGAAGCAGGAAAGAGCUGCUGUGUGGAAUUGGGACAGGGUGAAAAGGAGGAGCUGGAGACCAGCUAACUUAACUGCACCAUCUUUUUGCAGUGCAAGAUACAGAAAACUCACAUUCAAACUCUGAAUAUCAUUUCUCCCUCAGCUUCAACGUUCAAAUACGGCUGAUCGUGAUGUCCUAUCCAAGGACAUCCAUGAAGUCAGAAGGAACACUUCAGGCAGUGCGGCUGCAGGCGGUGAACUGGAGGCCAGCACAGAGCUGACAUGGGAGCCAGACAGCAGAGCUGAUGUGGGGGCUGGCACAGAGCUGAUGUGGGGCCAGCACAGAUCCUUCUGGCAGGGACAACUCGCUGGGCCCAUGUCUAGCAGGGGAACAGUCAAAGCUUGCUCACCUUGCUGCAGAAUGACCUGAACAGUGACCUUGGAGACCACCAUCCUGAGGGAGGAAAGUAAGUCAAGCCCGGAAAACGCACACUCCUUGCAUCAGCUGAACAUCUCUCCUUUCAGAAGUCCCUCCCAAUGAGCCAAUGCCAUUCCACAGGAGCUGAAAACCACUGCUGAAGCCAGCUCAGAGCAGACAGCCCAGCCCCACCAGCGCUCAAAGCACUCCUUCAGAACAGCCAUGUUUCCAGCACAGAACAUCCUUUUAUGUCCCACUCUUCCUAAUUUAGUUUUAAUAGAAGCAAGUAGAAUAAGUAGAAUUUCAUUGGAGCUUGGGUAAAUUUUGCACGGCGUACGUUUUGCCAACUUUACCUUUCAAACUGUGUUUCAGAGUGUGGCCAAGCAUUUUGCAAAAUUACUGUGGUGCUUCUUAACUGUCCUGUGAGGCUCUCAUCAGAAGCACAAUAUAUUGUCCUGUAACUAUUGAUCCAAAUGGCUACAUUUCUACAGCAGAAAAUGACUGUGUAGUGAAAGCAGUGCAAAGGUGCAGUAAAAUGCCCUCAAGUAUAUAAAGACAUAAAGAUUAAAGUCACCCGCAGGUUCCCUUUAACUCCUUCAAAUCCACUGCGUAAUGUGUUCUUCGAGGAUAAAUCAGAAAGUUUGUACAAAUGAACAGGACAG